GCUGUUGUAGCUCAGUGGUAGAGCACUUGCCUAGCAUGCAUGAAGUACUGGGUUGGAUCCCCAGCACCACA
rnacentral:tRNA from 1 species